ensembl:lncRNA
GCCAUUGUCAGAACAGAAAAGCAGCUGUUCAAAAAGAGAGGUAAAACUAUUAUCUUUGUUCACCCUCGAUUCCCAUGGAAUUCAACAAAAAUAUGGAGAUGCUCAAGCAAUAUGGUAAAAAUAAAUGUGUGAUUUGGAUGAAAAUGAUUAUACAAACAUAAAGAUACAAAGCCCAUCUGAGGAUAACUCCAGAGAAACUACAAAUACCUGCUGGAGGCCUUCAUAGUAGAGAGCAGGAAGGCUCUUGUGAUUUCUACUGUUGUGGAAGAACAUGUAUGGUAUCAAGUAGUCUUCAGUAAAUGGAAUUCAAGUAAAAGGAAGGAGACUGUGACUGUUGUGCUGGUGUUUGCUUGGGUCUCCAUUCUCUGCUGAAAGUAUCACAAGCUCCAAAUUGCUGCUCCUCCAGAAAGCAUUACGCACACCAGGACUUGUCCUAGUGUCUCGGGCAAGUGUAAGCAAGCACAGCUUCAUGUGCUGCUGACCAAUGGAACUGUGAAGCACAAGGGUGGAGAGAAUAGAGUGAAAGGAAAUUUUCUUGGUGAGCUGUCAAAACACUUGGAACUGGCUGAUAGAAUGGAAAAGUCUACACACUGUAUUAUCACUCAAAGCAAUCCUAUAUCCUGUUUUCUGAACUUUCCUGAAAAGGUAUCUUGGCAUCAGCUUUUGAAAUAGCCAUAAAAUACUAUACUGAUAAAGUGCUUACAGGCUAUGUCUUCUGCAGUGCAUAGAGGCAGG